CCUUCUUUAACAUUAUAGAUUUGAAAUCCGUUUGGUUGCCAAGAAAAGUGACAGUGGAAGUCACCAAAAUCAGUGCAUUUUCAGAUUCAUAUAUACUGGGAAUUCCUCUGUUUUGAUUUGAAUUCUCUAAUACACUGUGGAAGGGCUUGAAGAGUUCCUGAAUCAAUCCAAAUCGAGUCCCCAGCAAUCUCCGGAGAAAACCAUGGACGGAUCACUAAGUAUCCCUCGUACUGCCCGCAGAACCUCGACUCGUAGAAAGCCCAUCCAAUAGAACCAGAAAGCUCACAGCCAUUGACUCAAUUGUCGCCGCGGGGUGAGGAGAGCCGUUUCUAAAGAGAUGGACCAAGAAAAGACUGAGGUGCCUAAAACUCCUGCCUCACCAAACACCUGGAGAAGGGCUUGACUGCUUCUGCUCGACAGAACACCACACAGAAGGAGAAAGUGGGGUGUGAGGUUGAUGACUUUUGUCUUUUUUAGGGUUGGUUUGAGAAGAUGGUGGGAUUUUUUUAGAAAUUGUGAAAAUUUGAAUUAGAAGUUGCAGUGAACUUUAUAUUUGGUGAAAUAAGAGAAGUGCAUGGUUUAAAUAGAAAAAUUCUUUGAAAGUGAAGCUUCUGAUUUUGAGAGGAUUAUCAUUUUAUCAUGUGAUUUUUUUAAUAAACCUUCUACUUUCAGAAAUCACA